AAGAGAAAUGACUGAGAGGUUUAUAGUUAUAAAUUGCUAAUUUAUUGUAUAUAUUAUAAAUAAUAUACCAAGGGUUCGAAUCCCUUUUUCUCU